CCUACGGGUGGCUGCAGUGGGGAAUAUUGGACAAUGGGCGAAAGCCUGAUCCAGCCAUGCCGCGUGUGUGAAGAAGGCCUUCGGGUUGUAAAGCACUUUCAGUGGGGAAGAAAGCCUUGGGGCUAAUACCCUCGAGGAAGGACAUCACCCACAGAAGAAGCACCGGCUAACUCCGUGCCAGCAGCCGCGGUAAUACGGAGGGUGCGAGCGUUAAUCGGAAUUACUGGGCGUAAAGCGCGCGUAGGCGGUCUGAUAAGCCGGUUGUGAAAGCCCCGGGCUCAACCUGGGAACGGCAUCCGGAACUGUCAGGCUAGAGUGCAGGAGAGGAAGGUAGAAUUCCUGGUGUAGCGGUGAAAUGCGUAGAGAUCGGGAGGAAUACCAGUGGCGAAGGCGGCCUUCUGGACUGACACUGACGCUGAGGUGCGAAAGCGUGGGUAGCAAACAGGAUUAGAUACCGAGUAGUC
rnacentral:rRNA from 1 species